rnacentral:rRNA from 1 species
CCUACGGGUGACAGCAGUCGAGAAUCAUUCACAAUGGGGGAAACCCUGAUGGUGCGACGCCGCGUGGGGGAAUGAAGGUCUUCGGAUUGUAAACCCCUGUCAUGUGGGAGCAAAUUAAAAAGAUAGUACCACAAGAGGAAGAGACGGCUAACUCUGUGCCAGCAGCAGCGGUAAUACAGAGGUCUCAAGCGUUGUUCGGAAUCACUGGGCGUAAAGUGUGCGUAGGCUGUUUCGUAAGUCGUGUGUGAAAGGCGCGGGCUCAACCCGCGGACGGCACAUGAUACUGCGAGACUAGAGUAAUGGAGGGGAAACCGGAAUUCUCGGUGUAGCAGUGAAAUGCGUAGAUAUCGAGAGGAACACUCGUGGCGAAGGCGGGUUCCUGGACAUUAACUGACGCUGAGGCACGAAGGCCAGGGGAGCGAAAGGGAUUAGAUACCCGAGUAGUC